rnacentral:rRNA from 1 species
UACGUAGGGUGCGAGCGUUAAUCGGAAUUACUGGGCGUAAAGCGUGCGCAGGCGGUCUGUUAAGACCGAUGUGAAAUCCCCGGGCUUAACCUGGGAACUGCAUUGGUGACUGGCAGGCUUUGAGUGUGGCAGAGGGAGGUAGAAUUCCACGUGUAGCAGUGAAAUGCGUAGAGAUGUGGAGGAAUACCGAUGGCGAAGGCGGGUUGCUGGGCCGACACUGACGCUGAUGCGCGAAAGCCAGGGGAGCGAACGGG